UACGGGGGGAGCAAGCGUUGUUCGGAUUUACUGGGCGUAAAGGGCGCGUAGGCGGCCUCCGCAAGUCAGUUGUGAAAUCUCCGAGCUUAACUCGGAAAGGUCAAUCGAUACUGCGGGGCUAGAGUGCAGAAGGGGCAACUGGAAUUCUCGGUGUAGCGGUGAAAUGCGUAGAGAUCAGGAAGAACAUCGGUGGCGAAGGCGCUCUGCUGGACCAUAACUGACACUCAGGGACGAAAGCUAGGGGAGCGAAUGGG
rnacentral:rRNA from 1 species